UUUGAAAUUCCAAAAGCGGAGGAAAAGAAACCAACAGGGAUUGCCCUAGUAACGGCGAGUGAAGCGGCAACAGCUCAAAUUUGAAAUCUGGCCCUCGGGUCCGAGUUGUAAUUUGUAGAGGAUGCUUUUGGCGCGGUGCCUUCCGAGUUCCCUGGAACGGGACGCCUUAGAGGGUGAGAGCCCCGUACGGUUGGACACCAAGCCUCUGUAAAGCUCCUUCGACGAGUCGAGUAGUUUGGGAAUGCUGCUCUAAAUGGGAGGUAAAUUUCUUCUAAAGCUAAAUAUUGGCCAGAGACCGAUAGCGCACAAGUAGAGUGAUCGAAAGAUGAAAAGCACUUUGAAAAGAGGGUUAAAUAGCACGUGAAAUUGUUGAAAGGGAAGCGUUUGCGACCAGACCUUUUCCUGGCGGAUCAUCCGGUGUUCUUCACCGGUGCACUUCGCUAGGUCGAGGCCAGCAUCGGUUUCUGUAGGGGGAUAAAAGCUCAGGGAACGUAGCUCCUUCGGGAGUGUUAUAGCCCUCCGCAUAAUACCCUUACGGGGACCGAGGACCGCGCUUUGCAAGGAUGCGGCGUAAAGGCCG
rnacentral:rRNA from 1 species